rnacentral:rRNA from 1 species
GACGAACGCUGGCGGCGUGCUUAACACAUGCAAGUCGAACGAUGAACCCGGAGCUUGCUCCGGCGGAUUAGUGGCGAACGGGUGAGUAACACGUGAGUAACCUGCCCUUGACUCUGGGAUAACUGCUAGAAAUGGUAGCUAAUACCGGAUACGACCCUCGGUGGCAUCACCAGGGGGUGGAAAGAAUUUCGGUCAAGGAUGGACUCGCGGCCUAUCAGCUAGUUGGUGAGGUAACGGCUCACCAAGGCGACGACGGGUAGCCGGCCUGAGAGGGUGACCGGCCACACUGGGACUGAGACACGGCCCAGACUCCUACGGGAGGCAGCAGUGGGGAAUAUUGCACAAUGGGCGCAAGCCUGAUGCAGCAACGCCGCGUGAGGGAUGACGGCCUUCGGGUUGUAAACCUCUUUUAGUAGGGAAGAAGCGAAAGUGACGGUACCUGCAGAAAAAGCACCGGCUAACUACGUGCCAGCCGCCGCCGUAA